rnacentral:rRNA from 1 species
GAUGAACGCUGGCGGCGUGCCUAAUACAUGCAAGUCGAGCGAACAGAUAAGGAGCUUGCUCCUUUGACGUUAGCGGCGGACGGGUGAGUAACACGUGGGUAACCUACCUAUAAGACUGGAAUAACUCCGGGAAACCGGGGCUAAUGCCGGAUAACAUUUAGAACCGCAUGGUUCUAAAGUGAAAGAUGGUUUUGCUAUCACUUAUAGAUGGACCCGCGCCGUAUUAGCUAGUUGGUAAGGUAACAGCUUACCAAGGCAACGAUACGUAGCCGACCUGAGAGGGUGAUCGGCCACACUGGAACUGAGACACGGUCCAGACUCCUACGGGAGGCAGCAGUAGGGAAUCUUCCGCAAUGGGCGAAAGCCUGACGGAGCAACGCCGCGUGAGUGAUGAAGGUCUUCGGAUCGUAAAACUCUGUUAUUAGGGAAGAACAAAUGUGUAAGUAACUGUGCACGUCUUGACGGUACCUAAUCAGAAAGCCACGGCUAACUACGUG